rnacentral:rRNA from 1 species
AAGGGUCCGUAGGCGGAUGAUUAAGUCAGGGGUGAAAGUUUGCAGCUCAACUGUAAAAUUGCCUUUGAUACUGGUCAUCUUGAGUUGUAUUGAAGUAGGCGGAAUAUGUAGUGUAGCGGUGAAAUGCAUAGAUAUUACAUAGAACACCAAUUGCGAAGGCAGCUUACUAAGUACUAACUGACGCUGAUGGACGAAAGCGUGGGUAGCGAACAGGAUUAGAUACCCUGGUAGUCCACGCCGUAAACGAUGGAUACUAGCUGUUCGGGACCUUGAGUUCUGAGCGGCUAAGCGAAAGUGAUAAGUAUCCCACCUGGGGAGUACGUUCGCAAGAAUGAAACUCAAAGG